UCUCCGUUGGUGAACCAGCGGAGGGAUCGUUACAGGAUCGAAAGACUCCUAUAACCCCUGUGAACUUACUACAAAUACGUUGCUUCGGCGGGUGCCCCGGGUCUCCCGGGGCGUUCAGCCCGCCGGCAGCCUUCAAAUUCUGUUUCUUUGCGUUGGCAUCUCGAGUAUACAAAAAUAAGUUAAAACUUUCAACAACGGAUCUCUUGGUUCUG
rnacentral:misc_RNA from 1 species